rnacentral:rRNA from 1 species
UCGGGAAUUUUGGGCAAUAGGCGAAAGCCUGACCCAGCAACGCCGCGUGAGGGAUGAAGUAUUUCGGUAUGUAAACCUCGAAAGAAUGGGAAGAAUAAAUGACGGUACCAUUUAUAAGCUCCGGCUAACUACGUGCCAGCAGCCGCGGUAAUACGUAGGGAGCAAGCGUUGUUCGGAUUUACUGGGCGUAAAGGGCGCGUAGGCGGCGCGGUAAGUCACUUGUGAAAUCUCUGAGCUUAACUCAGAACGGCCAAGUGAUACUGCUGUGCUAGAGUGCGGAAGAGGCAACCGGAAUUCUUGGUGUAGCGGUGAAAUGCGUAGAUAUCAAGAGGAACACCUGAGGCGAAGGCGGGUUGCUGGGCCGACACUGACGCUGAUGCGCGAAAGCCAGGGGAGCAAACG